GUAGGGAAUAUUGGACAAUGGGCGAAAGCCUGAUCCAGCCAUGCCGCGUGAUAGAUGAAGGCCCUCUGGGUUGUAAAUAUCUUUUAUCUGGGAAGAAACUCCUCUAUUCUUAGAGGCCUGACGGUACCAGAGGAAUAAGCACCGGCUAACUCCGUGCCAGCAGCCGCGGUAAUACGGAGGGUGCAAGCGUUAUCCGGAUUCACUGGGUUUAAAGGGUGCGUAGGAGGGUUGAUAAGUCAGUGGUGAAAGCUCCGGGCUUAACUUGGAAACUGCCAUUGAUACUGUCAAUCUUGAAUGUCGUAGAGGUAAGCGGAAUGUUGCAUGUAGCGGUGAAAUGCUUAGAUAUGUUACAGAACACCAAUUGCGAAGGCAGCUUACUAUGCGAUAAUUGACGCUGAGGCACGAAAGCGUGGGGAGCAAACAGGAUUAGAAACCCGAGUAGUCC
rnacentral:rRNA from 1 species